AAUCCAUGUUGUGGACACUUCGGCAAGAGAUCCUUGAAUCGCUCCUAUGUCACAAACAAGGAUUCAAGCUCCAUGUGAGCAAACGACAAUAUCUCAUUAUGUAGCUU